rnacentral:lncRNA from 10 species
CAUAUAUCCAAAUGUCUACUUCUUGCCUUCAGUAUACCUUACAAACCUCUCAAGUUUGACGUGCCUAGAACUGGACUCUGGAUUUUACCUUUUGCCCGUAUCAACAAGUUCCUCUCUUAGUCUUCCAAUCACAGAAAGGGCUCCACCAUCAAGAUGGACAUGAGCCUAAAACCCAAGAAUUCUUGUUUCCUGCCUUCCUUUCCUUCUCUCACAUUCAGUCUCCUGGUAGACUUGUUCAUUUACUUCCACCAUUUCUAUCUACUUCUUUUCAUCUCCAGUGCCAACAUUCUUGUCCAAGCCAUCACUCUCUCUCCCCAAACCACUCCAAUAGCAUCCUAACUGGUUUUCCCUACCCUUAUCUCACCUCAAUCCAUUCUCUGCAUAUUAGCUGGAGUGAUCCUUUCAAGAAGUGAAUACAAACCUUAAAUCUUUCAACAGCCCUCACUGCAUCCAGAAUAAAAUCCAAGCACCUAUAACUGCCUAAUAUGGCUUCUGUCCACAUCUAACCUCAAAUCUUACCUUCUGCCCUUGCUGUGCUCAAGCCUUUCUGGCCUUUCAUUUCCUUAAACACACCAAGCCUUUCCAGCAUCAGAGACUUUACAAUUCUUCCUGGAAUGCUCUUCCACUAAUUUCUUUAGGUCAUAGUUUGUGGUCAUUUGAAAACAUGUCCACAAAUUCUUUUCUAUCCUAAAAAAAGGGGGAAUCCAAUUCCCCUCCUCUUGAACAUGGACUAGCCUCAGUGGCUUGCUACUAAUGAAUUAAAUGGUAUAGAAGUGACUGUAACUUCUUAGACUAGGUGACCAAAGAUGGCACAGCCUCCACCUGGUUCUCUGUCUUGUGAGGCUCACCCUUGGAACCCAGCCAUCAUGCUGUGACAAAGCCAUGUACCACAUGCAGGUGUUUCGGGGAACAGACCUGUCAGAGGUCCUUGCCAACAGCCAACAUCAGUCAGCAUCAACCACUAGACAUGUAAGUGAGGAAGCCUCCAGAUGAUUCCAGUUCCCACCUUCAGCUGAUGUUAGGUGGAGCAGAGACAUGCUGUCCCCACCUGCCUAAACUGCAGAUUCAUGAGUAAUGUAAUUUCUGUCAUUGUUUUAAGCCAUUAAGUUUUGGGGCAGUUUGUCACACAGCAAUAGACAACUGGAACACAGCUCAUAUGCCCCUUCUCAGAACUGCCCUCCCUGAUCAUCCUAAGUGCCCAUUGGCAUUAUCCAUAACCUGAAAAUUAUUAUGAUUGAUCCUAAAGUCCAGCCUGGUGCCUGGCACGUAGGAGAUGCUCAGUGAAUAUUUGUGGAAUGAUUGAAUAAGGAAAUGAAUCCUCUUGUCACAUUUGAAGUUAUCAGUCAUCAAUAAAAUGGGGAUUUGUU